rnacentral:rRNA from 1 species
GCUUGCUGGUGUGGAUGAGUGGCGAACGGGUGANNAANANGUGAGUAACCUGCCCUUGACUCUGGGAUAAGCCCGGGAAANUGGGUCUAAUACUGGAUGCUACAUGUCACCGCAUGGUGGUGUGUGGAAAGGGUUUACUGGUCUUGGAUGGGCUCACGGCCUAUCAGCUUGUUGGUGAGGUAAUGGCUCACCAAGGCGACGACGGGUAGCCGGCCUGAGAGGGUGACCGGCCACACUGGGACUGAGACACGGCCCAGACUCCUACGGGAGGCAGCAGUGGGGAAUAUUGCACAAUGGGCGAAAGCCUGAUGCAGCGACGCCGCGUGAGGGAUGACGGCCUUCGGGUUGUAAACCUCUUUCAGCAGGGAAGAAGCCACAAGUGACGGUACCUGCAGAAGAAGCGCCGGC